CAAUAGCCGUCAGUGGGACAUCAUAGAGGGUGACAAUCCCGUCCUUGAUGCCAAUGUACAAGUCCGUUACGAUGACUAUCUCAGAGAGUCGAGCAGUUUGGGAUUUGCUGCUUAAACAUGGGAGGUAGAUUCCUUCUAAAGCUAAAUACAGGCGAGAGACCGAUAGAGAACAAGUACCGCAAGGGAAAGAUGAAAUAGAACUCUGUGAAGGGAGUCAAAAGGCGUGAAAUUGUUGCGAGAGAAGCGAUUCAAGUCAGCGUAGCUAGGCCCAUCCUUUGGACUAGCUUUGCCAGCGGUCUUGUCCCUAGACUUGACUUUAUGCCCAGCCUGGUCUAUACAGGUAGCCCCUCUGGGGGCCAGUGGCAUGGCUGGUGGAAUGGCUUGCAAUCGACCCGUCUUGAAACACGGACCAAGGAGUCUAACAUGUAUGCGAGUAUAAGGGUGGCAAACCCGUAUGCGCAAUGAAAGUGACUUUCGUUGAUUGAGAAUGGCCUGACGACCAGACAAGCAAUACAUGUCCCUCGAACGGCCAUUGCCCAAGUUCCGUGGUAGACCCACGAACAUGGAGUUGGAGCAUACAUGCUAGACCCGAAAGAUGGUGAACUAUGCCUGGACAAAGCGAAGCCAAAGGAAACUCUGGUGGAGGCUUGUAGCGAUUCUGACGUGCAAAUCGAUCGUCUGAUCUGGGUAUAGGGGCGAAAGACUAUC
rnacentral:rRNA from 2 species